ACUUCUUUGGAUGCUAUUUUGAGGAUAGACUGAAGGGAAUGAUGAUAGCAGGGAGACCAGUUAGGAUGAUGACUUAGACCAUGGCAGUUGUGGGUGGAGAUGGUAACUGCCAGAUUCUGUCUAUAUAUUGAGAAGUAGCAGGCAGGAUGUACUGAGCAAUUGGAUGUGGGAUGUGAGAGAAAUGACUCCAAGGUUUUUGGCCUGAGCAAUCAGAAGGAUCCAUCUAACAUUUACUGAAAUAAGGAAGAUGCUUUAUUCAAUCUAAAAGUGAAAAAAGAACCUUUUAGACAUUAUUAUUAUAAAAUGUCUAUAAGAAGACUUCUCAUUUUAAUCCUCAAAAUCACUCUGGUUAUGGAUUCCUAUAAGUGUAUCCUGUUGAAGUUUGCUGAGCUCCUUGAAUCUAGGGAGACGAUGGACUGAGCUGAUCCGCACCAUGGAGUCUCGGGUCUUACUGAGAACAUUCUGUUUGAUCUUCGGUCUCGGAGCAGUUUGGGGGCUUG
rnacentral:lncRNA from 10 species